rnacentral:rRNA from 1 species
UGGCUCAGAACGAACGCUGGCGGCAGGCCUCAAACAUGCAAGUCUAGCGGGCGUAGCAAUACGUCAGCGGCAGACGGGAGAGUAACACGUGGGAACGUGCCCUUCGGUUCGGAAUAACGCAGGGAAACUUGCGCUAAUACCGGAUACGCCCUUACGGGGAAAGAUUUAUUGCCGAAGGAGCGGCCCGCGUCUGAUUAGCUAGUUGGUGAGGUAACGGCUCACCAAGGCGAGGAUCAGUAGCUGGUCUGAGAGGAUGACCAGCCUCACUGGGACUGAUUCACGGCCCAGAGACCUACGGGAGGCAGCA